rnacentral:rRNA from 1 species
UACGUAGGGGGCGAGCGUUGUCCGGAUUUAUUGGGCGUAAAGAGCUCGUAGGCGGUUUGGUAAGUUGGAUGUGAAAUCUCCAGGCUCAACUUGGAGGGGUCAUUCGAUACUGCCAUGACUAGAGUUCGGUAGGGGAGUGUGGAAUUCCUGGUGGAGCGGUGAAAUGCGCAGAUAUCAGGAGGAACACCGGUGGCGAAGGCGGCAUCCUGGACCAACACUGACACUGAGGAGCGAAAGCCAGGGGAGCAAACGGG